ACAGGGCCUGUGGGCAGGGCAGGGUCACCACCCGGGUCCCGGGAUGGCUUGAGUCCUCUAAGGAAUAAGGUCACCUCCGGCUCAGGGACACAGAGAGGAGGGCAUUGUCUGGCCAAGGUCACACAGCUUGGAGGGGACAGGCCAAAGAGACAGCAUCCUGCGAGGGCAAGGCCCAGAGCACCCCAUCCUGCGAACCCAAACCCCAAGCAGAGCGGGGGCUUCCACACCCCUUUAACCUUCACAGCCUCCAAGUCCCGCCCUGGCACAGACUGGGAUUCCUCCGCAGCCCCGCCUCCCAGGAUGGAAACUCCAGCAAGCCGCCCACCUACAGGGCGCUGAAGGACGAGGGGAAGACGACGGGUCCCACCUGACUCUGCACCUCGGCAGGCUCCCUCUGAAGGACACUGCUGGCCCGUCAGGACCUCAGGUGGAAGGCGUCGGGAAGUGGAGCAGGCUAUGUGAGUCGAGGAUGGCUAAUGACCUUCCCAGAACAUCCCAGGAGGGUGUGACAGCUUCGGCCUGGAAGGUUCUAUCUUCAGGUCCCCAAGGCAUCUGCAGCACACCGUCUUCUGCUGUGGGUCUGUGAAGCAGGCACUCCAGCAGCGGGACAGUGGUGCCUGUCCAUUCCCUCUGCUAGCUGCCAGCCCUGCUGUCCUCCACGCUUUCUGGCGACCUCACUGUAUGAAACUCCCCAACUCCUCCUCCACGCCAAGUGUCAAAACAGCAGGGUUUAGGUGCUUUGAGGAUUUCCACCGAGCGUGACUGCAAAGAGGUGAGCACAUUUAAGCCCCUACUCCCAGCCCAGUCCCCUGCAUCAGAGUUCCAGGGCUGACUGCAGAGCGGACGCAGCCUCCUCCCAGAGGCAGGCACACAGUAGGUGCUCAAGCAAUAGGAUUUCUGCCAUUUCCACACUUUUGGAAGAACCUGCCCAUCCCCCAUCCUCUGCCCGCUCUCAAGGGCCGUCCUCCUGAACUUGUUAAGGCGGCUCUUCCUACUCCCACUGAAUGAAUGAGGAAACUGAGGCAGGGUGUGGGGGCCUGGAGGACAGAAGCAUUGUCCGAGGCCCCCGGGGGAGGCCAGGGAAGCCUCAGUCCGGCAGGUCCCCGGGUUCCCGGCCCCCAGGGCCUUCUUCUUAACCCACCCCCGGCCCCUCCAAGGCUCCCACUCACGCGGACGAGCCCUCCAGCUUGCCGUAGAGCCAGCCGUUCUGGGCCUCGGGCACCAGC